rnacentral:rRNA from 1 species
AAUGAACGUUGGCGGCGUGGAUUAGGCAUGCAAGUCGUGCGGAAAGGCUCCUUCGGGAGUACUCGAGCGGCGAAAGGGAGAGUAACGCGUGGAUAUCUACCCCCUGGACUGGGACAGCGGCGGGAAACUGCCGGUAAUACCAGAUAACGUCUGCGGACCAAAGGUGUGAUUCCGCCGGGGGAUGAGUCCGCGUCCUAUUAGCUUGUUGGUGGGGUAACGGCCUACCAAGGCGAAGAUGGGUACCGGGUGUGAGAGCAUGGCCCGGCUCACUGGGACUGGGACACUGCCCAGACACCUACGGGUGGCUGCGGUCGAGAAUCUUCGGCAAUGGGCGCAAGCCUGACCGAGCGACGCCGCGUGCGGGAUGAAGGCCUUCGGGUUGUAAACCGCUGUCAGAGGGGAGGAAAUGCAUGAGGGUUCUCUCUCAUGUUUGACCUAUCCUCAGAGGAAGUACGGGCUAAGUUCGUGCCAGCCGCCGCAGUAAGAC